rnacentral:lncRNA from 10 species
AGCUCUGCAGUGCUGUACAACGUGGAGAUUUCCCUCUGGGAAAAUCACCCAGCAAGUGAAAUCCGACCCAGAGGGGGACACAGGAGUGCUCCCGUGGGACAGCGUGGCCACCACUGGGAGGGGCUCUGGCAGUUUUUCUUGUUUUUUACGCUGCGAUGUCUGUGAAUCUUGAGAGCCCAGCUGAUGCGUUGUAACCUCACCUGGGGGCGAUGUGGAACAUUCCAGGCCUGGCAGGGGCUAUGCCUGCCAUGCAGACCUCACCCGAGCCAUCUCACCCUGGGUCUGUCAGAGUCCCACGUGCUGUCGCCCCUCACCCACCCCCGACGGGGCCAUGCUCCUGGUCAUGCUGUGAUUCAUUCAUCAUUCCAUGGGCAGGUGUGGGAUUGUCUCUGUGUUUCUGUCUGCUUUUUAAAGAAGAUGAGGUAAGCAUGGAAAACAAAACAAACGUGGUAACCCCAUCACUCAGACGUGUCCACUGUUAGCAUUCGGGAACAGGUGAGAGCAGUCUGGCGCACAGGUUUUAAGGCUGGCUGGCCCAGACUUUGGUCUUGUGCUGUGUGAUCUUGGGGAAAUCACUGAUUCUGAGCCUUUUUCCCAGCUGCUUUUUCUCUUGGGGCUGGUAGAAGGAAUAAAGAGAGUGAGUGUGAAACAGCCCCCGCCCCUUUGCACCUGUGUUCUCUGUUGACGUGGACUGACACAGUUGGUAUUUUGCUGGGUGUCUCUGGACCCUUUAACACACACUCCAUAGAUCUGUGUUCUGUGUCUGCCUGCAGAGCCUCCA